UACGUAGGGUGCAAGCGUUGUCCGGAAUUAUUGGGCGUAAAGAGCUCGUAGGCGGCUAGUCACGUCGGAUGUGAAAACCCGAGGCUCAACCUCGGGCCUGCAUUCGAUACGGGCUGGCUAGAGUACUGCAGGGGAGACUGGAAUUCCUAGUGUAGCGGUGAAGUGCGCAGAUAUCAGGAGGAACACCGGUGGCGAAGGCGGGUCUCUGGGCAGUAACUGACGCUGAGGAGCGAAAGCGUGGGGAGCGAACAGG
rnacentral:rRNA from 1 species